GAUGAACGCUGGCGGCGUGCCUAAUACAUGCAAGUCGAGCGAACGGACGAGAAGCUUGCUUCUCUGAUGUUAGCGGCGGACGGGUGAGUAACACGUGGAUAACCUACCUAUAAGACUGGGAUAACUUCGGGAAACCGGAGCUAAUACCGGAUAAUAUUUUGAACCGCAUGGUUCAAAAGUGAAAGACGGUCUUGCUGUCACUUAUAGAUGGAUCCGCGCUGCAUUAGCUAGUUGGUAAGGUAACGGCUUACCAAGGCAACGAUGCAUAGCCGACCUGAGAGGGUGGAAGGCCAAAACGGAAAUGGGAAAAGGGUCAAAAUCCUAAGGGAAGGAGGAAGAGGGAAACUUUCGGAAUGGGGGAAAGGCUGAAGGGGGAAAGGCGGGUUAAGGAAGAAAGGUGUCGGAUCGGAAAAACCCGUUAAUAAGGAAAAACAAUAGGGGAAAUAAAAGGGGAAAACUUGAAGGGAACUAAAUAAGAAAGCAAGGCUAAAUAAGUG
rnacentral:rRNA from 1 species